AAAAUGAAUAAAAUAAAAACAAAACCCAAAACGACUUGUCCGUCCAACAUCUGCCACUAAUUAUCUCCCGAUUUAGGGUUCUAAUGCACUGCUACUAAAUGGGAAAUUGUUGGAACAGAGGUGGACUCCAUUGUCAUUAGCGAAGAAAACGAUCAUCUAAACGAUCAAGACAAUGAUGAUGAAGAUCGUGCGUUCCUGUCGCGAUGAAGAUAUUAUUUCCUUUUCGCUUAAAAACAGCACCAAAAAAAAUGCGAGCUUUCCUCCCAGUUCCUCACGGAUUUAGAAGGAAAUGAUUUGUGUUUUGAGUGAAGCGAUGGCCCCAAUCGGUCACUUGAAGCCAUCCUACCAUCAGCUCAACCGUUCGUACAACCCGGUUGGACAUCCUCUUCGGGACAUAACCAUCAAUAAUGGGUGCCCGUAAAUCGUCAACAGCAUAAAAAAAAAACCCUAGUAAGGCUUCACUAGCAGCGGGGCACAAAACCAGAAGUGGGGUCAAAGUAAAAAAAAGGCGAGACGAUCUGAUAAAUGUGUUCCACCGUGUCCAACAGCAACUAUCCGGUCAGCUUUGCACGAUUAGAGGCAUCGCAUCUCCCCCGUCGUUUCUGCCAAUGGGGCCUCAACGAUUCAAAAUCAUCAUCAUCAUCAUCAUCGUCACGGUGCAAACUAGCCAGCCAUGGGGGUUUUUUGAGAGAUGAAUAGAACUCGCGGCAAGCAUCACGCGCACACCGGCAAAAGGGUACUAUUAAAUGGUUCACCGUCUAGGCCCAAAAGGGGCACAAACACAACCACGCAAACAAAAGAAAGGGAGGCUGUAAUUUCCCGGUAGCUACCGUUUUCGUUUUGGGGUCUAAUGUUUUAUCGUUCAGUAAUCGAAAUCCAUCAUCAAAUCAAAGAGACUCCAUUAGGAGCUAGGACGCUCGCACAUGGGUUCAAGUUCACCGCUACUGUUCUUAUUGCGAUUGAUGAGAAUGUUGGGUUGAAUGUUUGAAAAUAGGACUGUUUGAAUGUUACACAAGUUUUUGAAAAACAAAUUUAAUUUCGUUCCGGAAAAUAAAACAAACUUUUAAUACAA